GAAGAUACACAUCUUACUAAAGUGCCCAUGAACUAAAUACAGUGCUUAGUCAAGCUCUUAAAACAUACCAUGUGAAUACUGGGAUAAACACAUCUCUUUGCUGCAUGUUCAUACUAUUUUUAUCUCAUUAUAUGGCACUGAAAAGUGAGCAGGAAAGGGAGAAAAGCUUCCUUUUCCUGGAACAAAAAUCUGCUGAGCAGAACCAUCUUCUGUUCAGGAGUCUGGAUACAAAAAGAGACCACUAACUACUAUCUCUGUCUGCAGCAAAAACGUGCUAUUCCAUACUGUCACACACUUAAGUGCAACCCAGCUGAUUUGCUGGAUCUCUAGGAUUAGGGUUGAGGGGACACCGUUGUAGAUGGGAGGUCUUGUAUAUCUGUUGCUGUGAGGGCACUGUGGAUUGACAACUGAGAGAAGAGAUGGGUGUGAGCUGAAGCCUGAUUGAAACACAUCUCAUCAUGUGAAACAACAGCCAAUCAUAAUCUCAUCAUCUACAUCACAAUCAAUUGUUUGGUCAAUGAAAAGCGGACAAGUUGAUCGUGGAAAGCAAAACCUAAACAAAUGUUGGAGUGAUGUAGGCAGUGCAGCUCAUCUGGAAGAGGGAUACUGGGAACUAAGUGAAUAAUUGCUUUCAGAGAGGCCCAUACCCCCAGCAGCCCACUGUAGACCGACUGCUGGGUCUGCUUUUCAGCAUGCAGCAGAAUGACAAAAAAAAAGGAAACUUGGAGAUGUCAUCUGCUUUCAGGCUUAAGUGUGAUCCCUUCUAAAUGUUUUUACCAGAAAGAAACCCACAGGGAUUCGAGAACUAGCUUUCUAAGGAGUCUCAGGGAGGUAUUGAGAAAACUUGCGGCUUCUCACAUUUCACUUUUCCCAAAGAGACGAACAAAUAGCUGAAUUCAGUAAACAGCUAUGUGUGAAUUUGAAGGGAUUUUGAGGUGUAACAGAAUUUGCACACUAAUUUAUUAUUUAGCUAGAAUUUGGUAAGGAGCAAAAGAAAUACAGUGGAAAAAUAAAUCUGGGGAUUGAGCAACCAAGUAUAUUCUGGCUCUGUCUGCAGUAUUCCACUAUGAUACAAUUCAACCACAAAAUCUGCUUCAUGUGUAGGGAUCACUUCUAAUGAAGACAUGUUUAAAAUAUCUGAAGACUUGCAAGAAAAUUAGUCUGUUGAAAUGGAACAGGGUGAUUGGUCACAUUCAUUUUCAGUACCUGAUUACAAAUGACAAAAUUGAUAAUUCAGUUCUUAUUACAACGUCAAGCAAAACAUACUAUAUGUGAUGGGAGACUUGUCCAGCUGCAGCACUGGUUUUCAAUGUAGUGACAAGCCCUGUGGUUUAGUAUCACAAUCUGACCAUGCCAGUGCUGACUGUGGCCAGCUGCAGCCCACAGAUGCAGCACAUUAUUGGCCACAGUGUUGGCUGGUCAGGCUUCUGUAGCAUGCCGGCAAUAACAGUGUGAAGUGCCCUUUACUGCAAUAUCUGUAUAACCCAGCAGGUGAACUGUAGCAUGAAAGUGAUGGACAAACUGACAGAGGACACUUCGGAGGUAGGACAGAUCCAGAGGAACUGGGAAUCAGAUUUUGUAAAUAAAUAAAAAUAAUAAUAAUUAAAAUGUUUCGUGCAGAAACAGUGUGUACAUAUAAACCGAGUGUGCCUCACACCCAAACCACACCAGUUAUGAGAAAGUGUUUAAGCACUGAUGUCAUCUUUCAGCAUUGAUGCCAAGUUAAAUAACUUACAUUUCCAAACACUACCAUACUUCUACUGUAUAAGGAAUGUCUCCCUGUAAUGUAUGUUGGAUAACAGUGCAUAGACAAGACAGCUUAAUGUUCACUCACUCCCCUGAUAGAUAACCUGAUGAACCUGGGGUCUGUGUGUGAAGGGCAGAUGGUGUUUCAAUGCUGGGCGUGGUGGUGUGUUUCCAUGCUAUUCAGCUACAGUUAACUACUUAACAUUUAGUGCAGAGCUUGUUCAA